GGGGGCGGGGCCGGAGAGCGGGCCGCGCCGGGUAAACACCGGGUGGGAGGUGCGGGCGGGGACCGUGAGCCCUUUACCGGGCGGUGCGGCCUGGCCCGGCCUGAGCGGCCUUCCGCCGCCUGCAGACCCGGAGGGGCCGCAGUGCCCGGCCCUGCGAUCCCGGUGUGGCCGCGCGGAGCCCAAAGCCACGCGGGCCCGAGGCGAGGAGACCUCUGCUGGCCCGGGGACCCGCAAAGACACCCCGCUCUGCCCCAGCCACCCAGUGACGGUGUCCACUUGAAGCUUCCUUCUACCUCCAAAGUCCAGUGCCUAAGGAAAGUAACUGAGAAGGUCUGCAAUUCAGAAAGCACUCAUUCGUUAACCACUUGUCGAUUCUCCUGCGAUGGUGCCGGGAUGAGAUUUGAGUAAUACAGACCAGAAAGAAUAAUAAAGGCCAGCACGUCAUUCAAGAAGCACUCUGGGUUUCGCUGUUCAUACCUGAAGAUGCAGCAGUGUCAGCUGAACUCCCAGUUGUUCUUUAAAGAGUGCAAAAAGUGCACCGGGAUCUUGGCGAGACUUUAAUAACAACCGUAAUUUACCAUCUUCUUAAAUGUAAUGAGGGUAACAUUUUAAGAUCUUCUCUUAGAAAAGUGCUUAAGUGCUGGGUAUGGUGGUAGACUCCUAUAAUCUCGGCCAACCCGGAGGUUUAUGCAGGAGGAUCAUAAAUUUUAGGCCACCCUGGGCAAUUUAGAGACGCUCUGUCUCAAAGCCUGUAACCCCAGCAUCGAGGUAGAGGCCAGCCUGAACUACAUAGGCCACCAAAAACAAAAAAAGAAGUCAUCAAAAUAAUCCGUAGGUUGGAUUGGAUGCCUGGUAUAGCAACGGUUGGGGUGUCCCCUUAAAGAAGAAUUUUAAACAACCGUGAAACUAUCUUCACCCUUGCGGCUCCCUUCCCUUGUCGUUCACCGUCUUUUCUGUGUCUUUUCUGUCUCGCUCAGCUUCUAACUCGCUCCCUUUUCCAGGCCCUCGUCCUCCACGUACAGAGUGUGCCUUUGUUCAGUCUACAGUGUUGCUGCUGCGUGUCUCUGAAACUAUUUUCCAUAGAUUCGCCUUGUAAUCUUUCUAAAACCAAAACAAGGACAGACUGCAGAAAGGAAACCAUGCCCUGAUGUGCCUAUGAGCUUAUCUUCCGGAUCGAACUCAGACCUUGCCCUUGUGAGACAGGUGCGGUGCCACUGAGCUAAAUCACCUGCAGUAUUUCAUUGUUUAAAUCUAUUAGCCCUGUGUGGUGGUGCACACCUGUAACCCCAGAACUCGAGAGGCUGAGGCAGGAGGGUCACCUCCAGUUUGAGGCCAGCCUGGGCUACAUAAUGAGUUCAAGGACAGCCGAGACAACAUACCAAGACCCUAUCCCA
rnacentral:lncRNA from 1 species